GACGUAGGGGACGAGCGUUGUCCGGAUUCAUUGGGCGUAAAGCGCGCGUAGGCGGUUUGGUAAGUCGGAUGUGGAAACCAGAGGCUCAACCUCUGGCCUGCAUCCGAUACUGCCCGACUAGAGGUAGGUAGGGGGAGAUCGGAAUUCCAGGUGUAGCGGUGAAAUGCGUAGAUAUCUGGAGGAACACCGGUGGCGAAGGCGGCAUCCUGGACCGGCAUUGACGCUGAGGCGCGAAAGCUAGGGGAGCAAACGGG
rnacentral:rRNA from 1 species